GUGCCAGCAGCCGCGGUAAUACGUAGGGGGCAAGCGUUGUCCGGAUUUACUGGGCGUAAAGCGCGUGUAGGCGGGACGACAAGUCGGACGUGAAAGGCUUCGGCUCAACCGGAGACGGCCGUUCGAAACUGUCGUUCUUGAGGACCGAAGAGGAGAGUGGAAUUCCCGGUGUAGCGGUGAAAUGCGUAGAGAUCGGGAGGAACACCCGUGGCGAAGGCGGCUCUCUGGUCGGUUACUGACGCUGAGACGCGAAAGCGUGGGGAGCGAACGGGAUUAGAUACCCCGGUAGUCCACGCCGUAAACGAUGGUCACUAGGUGUAUGCGGUAUCGACCCCGCAUGGGCCGCAGCUAACGCAAUAAGUGACCCGCCUGGGGAGUACGGCCGCAAGGUUGAA
rnacentral:rRNA from 1 species